UGGAAGCUAAAGGGGUGCUGUAUCAGUUGAUACGGCUGAGAUUAUACCCACAGAACCUGAUACGGGUAAUGCCGACGCAGGGAUAGGUAAAACCUCUUUU
rfam:Prevotella sp. CAG:1092 genomic scaffold, scf443